CCACUACGGUGCCAAGAAGAUGCUGCAGAUCUUAAACAUGAACCCAACCACGGAGGGCGUGGCAAGAAGAUACGCAGAGUUCGGCAGGGAUGGUAAACUUUAGCUAAAAAUGAACUCAACAGCAAAGAAAGGAACCAAACGAUCGGGACGGUAGGCUUAACCCCCGCCACCAAGAAAGUGCCUUAUCGGUACGCCAAAUUAGACAGAGACGGUAAGCAUAACAUAAACCCCACCACAGAAGACGUGGCAAAACGAUCCGCCGGCUUCGACAGGGACGGUAAGAUAAACAUAAUCAUCACACCAGAAGCCGUGGUCAAACGAUACAUCGAUAUGUCGUGUCCGGCACAGACGGUAAGCUUAACAUUAACAGCACCGCAUAGGGCAUGGCUAAAUAACAAGGUGAGUUCGGCAGAGCCAGUAAGCUAAACAUGAACCCCGCCACAAAGAACGUGGCAAACCGAUACGCUGAAUUCAUAAGAGCCAGUAAGCUAAACGGUGUAUGUCCGUUUGGAUUUUGUCUGGCAAAAGUGCAUAAACAUGAUAUGCAUGCGCUAUUUCAACAUGUUUUUUUAUGAACUUAUUGCAAGCUUAUGAGUUGUUACAUAUAUUGAAUAUGCUUUAUGUACAUUUUCAAAUGUUUUGUGUUCCAUUGUUUUCUGUUCACCGUCCUCAAUUCUCUGUUCUUUUUAUAGCCACCGCGGGUCUGACAUUUGAGGAAUUCGAGCACAUAUUCCGAGACUACCUUAUGGACUUCCCGAAAGUGCCGGACGCAUUGAAAAAAACACUCACUGACCUUUUUGAUGGACCCAUUACUAAAGCAGAGCUUCGUAAGAUCCUGACAGAGAUGGGCUCAGAACCCUUCGAACCAGAAGAAGCGGACGAGUGAAAUACGCUUUGACGACCAGGGACUGAUCACACAGGAAGCACUACGACAGUUACUCCUUAACAAAGUCGACUUGCGUCUCCCGCCGUCUACUUCCGGUGCCCAGGAAGGGGAACCUACCGAAGAGCGGCCUUCACCCGUCGCAAGUCGGCACGCCGAGAUUGAAGAAGACUAUU